GGCCCAACUUGCCCAGAGGGGGGCCAGGAAUGCUGGAAUUGCAGACGUGUGAAAUAAUAAGUUUGAAAAGUAUUUUUAAGCCCCCAUUAUCUCAAACUAAUGUUUGAAAAAAGUUUUGGCCGUUUUGUUUUCGGAAAAAACCGUCGACCUCUCCUUCCCUCCCCUGUUGCCAAAAUUUUCCGAUUUUUUGAGGAGGGGGCACGGCCCUGAGUUUGUUGCCCUUUCGAAUUUUUCAAAAUACGAACAGACCCAAACAAACCCAACAGAUCAAACAAAACCCAACAGCACAACAGACCCAACAAAACCCAACAGCACAACAGACCCAACAAAAACAACAGCACAAC
rnacentral:lncRNA from 1 species